rnacentral:lncRNA from 1 species
UCUGAUACCAUAUUAGAUUGAUCGGAGAAUCGAUCGAUUCGUGAAGAAGAAGAAAUGCAGAGAAAGAAAUGCAGAGAAGAAGAUAAGAUUGAGUCUGAAAGCCUGAGUUGAUUCAUUCUGUUGGUUGGGUUUUUAUACUAAACCCAACGGUAACUUCAACAGUAAUAACUAAAAUAUAAACGCGGGUAAAACACGUGUCCACGUUUGAUACAUCAAUAGUUAAAAGCAAACGGUAAUAAACGGAAGGCAAAUGUCGUCGUUUCAUUUAAGCCCUUCUCCUUCUUCUCUUGACGUUGACCAACGGUCUUCCUUCUAACUCCGUUUGUUCUUCGCUGCAUUUAACACAUUAAUCCUACAGAACCCACCCAACCCAGCCAAAAGCUGGUUUCUUCUCCUUCAAUGUUGUAAUACAGUAAUCUCUAACUUUAUUGUGAAUUCCUUUGCUGGAUAUAGGUAAAAAAAUGUACCCAGGGUUUAAUGUGAUUUGCUCCCCUUUGAUACCCUUGACUGAACGAACAGCUUUUACUAACCUUAUUACCUUGGUUCCCUGGAUGUCUAUUACAGCAUUUGAAAACUGCAACUUUAUUGCACUCUGUAUUUGUAAUUCAAACUUGUUACCCCUUCUAGGUGUGAACUCUAAAAGACCAGUUGCUUAUCAUCACACCCUGGACCUCAGUGACUAAAGCUUCUUAUGGCAACUGGCAAGCAAUGCAACUAAAUUAGUUUCUAGUUAAUCAAAGUUAAAAUGUUAGAAGCUUAUCUAUACACAUAUCUCCGGGGACUUGACGUCCGUCACACCAUCGCC